GACGAACGCUGGCGGCGUGCCUAAUACAUGCAAGUUGAGCGCUGAAGGUUGGUACUUGUACCAACUGGAUGAGCAGCGAACGGGUGAGUAACGCGUGGGGAAUCUGCCUUUGAGCGGGGGACAACAAUUGGAAACGAAUGCUAAUACCGCAUAAAAACUUUAAACACAAGUUUUAAGUUUGAAAGAUGCAAUUGCAUCACUCAAAGAUGAUCCCGCGUUGUAUUAGCUAGUUGGUGAGGUAAAGGCUCACCAAGGCGAUGAUACAUAGCCGACCUGAGAGGGUGAUCGGCCACAUUGGGACUGAGACACGGCCCAAACUCCUACGGGAGGCAGCAGUAGGGAAUCUUCGGCAAUAGACGAAAGUCUGACCGAGCAACGCCGCGUGAGUGAAGAAGGUUUUCGGAUCGUAAAACUCUGUUGGUAGAGAAGAACGUUGGUGAGAGUGGAAAGCUCAUCAAGUGACGGUAACUACCCAGAAAGGGACGGCUAACUACGUG
rnacentral:rRNA from 1 species